CACUGUAGAAUUUCUGAGAAAUGAAAAAUGACUCUUUUCUGGAUUUUAAUUUUGAUCUUCAGCACCAUGUGUAAGUAAUAUGAGCAAAUUAUUCCCAUCUAGUUUGAUGUAUGAUUAGUAUUAUUACUCUAAAGACACUUUUUGCAAGUUUCUAUUAUUCCUUUAAGAUGAUCUUUAAUUACGUGUUAUGUAUAAUAAUAUCUGACCUGAAUUCAUUAUCUUAUUAAUGCAUUUACUUUUACAGUCCAACCUGGUAGACGCUGGGUUACUGCACAAUCCCUCACAGAGUCACAAGUUUAUCAGCCUCAUAAGGAGCUCAGUGUGAAUAUCGGAGACUCGGCUACUCUGCAGUGUUGUAUUUUAGAAAAAGAAGUCAGGAUAAUUACCUGGUUUAAGCAACCAAACAGAAAAAAACCUCGGAGCAUAGUCCAGUUAUAUAAAAAUGGUGGAGAAACAUUUUACAAUCAAUUCCAAAAGUCUCAUUUCCAAAUAGAAAGAUCUUCAAACUGUUUGAGUUUGAUCAUUUUAAACAUCAUUCAGUCUGAUGAAGCCAUGUACUACUGUGCACUGACGAGAUCCAACACUGUGUUUGGAGAUGGAACUUAUUUAAAAAUUAAAGGUAGGAUUUCCACUAAAAUUGAUUAAGCUACAGGUUUAAUGUAGUCAUUUUUUUCCUUAUUACCAUUAACAUGAUCAACCUGGAAGACAAAUAAUGAUGAAGUAGUGAAAUGCUAACUGUGUUUUCUUCAACAACACUGAGUUACAGAGUUUUAUUGAAUUAUGAUAAAUGUUUAUAGGUGAUCAUGUUACUGUUGCAUCAGAAACAUCUACACCAGCUCUGUGUGAUAAUUCAGUGCUGUUUGAACCAACACUGCAUGGAAACAGCACUAACAUGAACACUCACGAGAAAACAGGUGAUAUGUCUUAUAAUUCAGAAUUCAAUAUUAAUUAUCCAUAAUUCAUCAAGCAAAAUGUUCCUAGAAAAUAAUUUGCACUAAGGUAAAUGUAAUGUUAUCAAUAACAGAACCAGAAAUGAUCAGUUCUCUACACUCGACAGUGCUUGGUUUGGGAACGGCUUUGGGUUUGUGCACACUUCUGAUUUUCUGUCUCAUUUAUUUCACACUGAGGAGAAGAAAAUGUGAUAAAAUGAACGCCUCUAUAGACGACUCUCACGGAACGAGACAGGAAUCUCAUUUCAACACCUUGAAUUAUGAAACUUUGCAAUUCUUCAUGAAUAAAGUCAAACCUGGAGGAAUGGAUGAUUUGGUGUACUCUGAUGUGAUGUAUGUGACACUGUAAUAUAUAACAUAAACGACCCAGAACACAUGUUAAUAUUAGCUGAACUUCUGCUAUACUAAAGGUUGUUUUGUUGUUGUUGUUUGUUUGUUUUUGUUUUUUUUAAUCAUGCAUGUGUGUG